rnacentral:lncRNA from 1 species
CAAAAUGUGAAACAAUUCAAGAAAAAGUAAUUUUCUGACUUUCACAAUAAUGAAGUACAAAAAUGGAAGAUUGCAACUAACAAUACCACUAAAUUAUAGGUAACUGAAUAAAUAUCCAAACAAACUUUAUCAUAUUAACAUGGAAGUUGGUACCUUGUUGGAUCUUCAUAUGCAAAUAUUAUUAAUGUAUAGAGGAUGUACAAACAUCAAAUAUAACACUAAAAAAAAGUUCAAAUUUAUAAGACCGACCAUGCAAGGGGUUGUAUAGCCAUUUAGGGUGGUAAAAACUCCAUUCAUCAAAUUAAUAUUAUGAACUUCUGUGAUUCCCUGUUUUCCAGUUACUAGCAUAAUAGACUCAAUCCAGGAGACAGGAAAUAUUAUACCAGCUCAACAGAAAGUUCUAGUUACUUUUGAAGGUCAUAUUUCUUUAAAAAAAACUAUUUAUGAGAGAUUUUAUAAAUGAUAUGAAAUUUCUGUUUUCAAGUUACCGG